GCCAAAUCACAGCAGAGCUCGUGCAAAUCUUCUUCAACAGGUUGUACAUAUAGUCUUGCAAAAUACAGAUUAAAAGCUUAGGGUUUCAUCAUUACACAAAUUGCUAAUUUUUAAAUAACAUAGAAUUAAACAAAACAAAUGUAUAUAAAAUAUGUAAAUGAAUUAUUUCUAGUGUCCUCCGCCCUUUUUCCUGCAUUGACAUCAAUCUCCACUGUGUUUUUCAUCGUCUGUGUUGGACUUGUAACUUUUAUCAUCCUCAAGAGGAGAUAUGAUGGAAAAGGCAAGAAUACUCUUAAUAUGUUCAGAUUCUAAAACUUUUACGCUUUCAAAUGUUUUAAUUAUUGUAUUUAUUUAUUAUUUUCAAAUACAUGCUGUUUCAAAAGACCUGUAAAUGAAGAUUACGUAAUGCAAGACGUCACAAGGAUAGAAGAUCAUCAAUACCAGGACAUCGGUGCGGUUAAAAAGGAUGAAUAUCUCAAAACGCAUUGAAGACUGACGGAUUUUCUGAAGAGCACUGAAGACCAUAAAGCAUGAUUGAUUUACAACUAAAUACAACUCGGGGACAAAACCAUAUGUAAUAUAAGUUGUACUAAUUGAGCUCUGUCCGACAGAAAAUAGUCUAAUUAAAAGUAAAUAAUUUUGAAACUUUUCAUACAUUGACACAGUCUUGUCCUUAUUUGUUUAUUUUUUCAAAAGGUGCAAAUUCAGGGAUAUUUCUUAGUGCAGGGAAAUAGUCAUUUAUCUUAGUGCUGGGAACUUGACGGACAUUAAUAUACAUGAUUUUGAAACAUAGAUUCAUGGAAUGAUCCGUAAGAAGUAUUCAAAGAAAAAAAAAAUAUUGGAAUUCUAUUAACAAAACUUAGAACGGGACGAGGUGCCAUGAAUGUUAGAUGAGUUCACUUUUGAUCUCAUUCUCAUUUUUCUACUAUCUACAUGUAUUUGGUUAAAGUAAGACUGAGAUCAAAAGUUAUCUCGUCUAAGUUUGUUGGCUCUAGAGGAGGCAUUUCCAAAACUAAACACCAUAUUUAACAUCAAGAGAAGCAAAAUUAACGCAUUUGUCAAUUUGUACAUUUACGAACGUUAAAAUUUGGAAUAUAUCAAAUAAAUCAAUCAAUCGUCCUCAUAUUCUCGCGUAACAUACAACAGAGAGGUCCAUAGAUACAAAGAACAGAGCUGUAGUGGGGUAACCAUCACUUAACCACAACACCUCAAAUACCACUGAAUGAAAUUUGAUGAGAAUCUCUAUUACACAAUGAC